UCAGAGCGUCGGCUCCCAACCCAUGUGAACUUAUCUCUUUGUUGCCUCGGCGCAAGCUACCCGGGACCUCGCGCCCCGGGCGGCCCGCCGGCGGACAAACCAAAACUCUUGUUAUCUUAGUUGAUUAUCUGAGUGUCUUAUUUAAUAAGUCAAAACUUUCAACAACGGAUCUCUUGGUUCUGGCAUCGAUGAAGAACGCAGCGAAAUGCGAUAAGUAAUGUGAAUUGCAGAAUUCAGUGAAUCAUCGAAUCUUUGAACGCACAUUGCGCCCAUUAGUAUUCUAGUGGGCAUGCCUGUUCGAGCGUCAUUUCAACCCCUAAGCACAGCUUAUUGUUGGGAACCUACGGCUUCGUAGUUCCUCAAAGACAUUGGCGGAGUGGCAGUGGUCCUCUGAGCGUAGUAAUCUUUUAUCUCGCUUCUGUUAGGUGCUGCCCCCCCGGCCGUAAAACCCCCAAUUUUUUCUGGUUGACCUCGGAUCAGGUAGGAAUACCCGCUGAACUUAAGCAUAUCAUAAG
rnacentral:rRNA from 1 species